CGCCUUGCCAGCCCGCUCAGAACUUAAAGGAAUUGACGGGGCCCGCACAAGCGGAGGAGCAUGUGGUUUAAUUCGAUGAUACGCGAGGAACCUUACCUGGGCUCGAACGUAAGAUGACUGUAGGUGAAAGCUUACAUCUCUUCGGAGCAUUUUACGAGGUGCUGCAUGGUUGUCGUCAGCUCGUGCCGUGAGGUGUCGGGUUAAGUCCCAUAACGAGCGCAACCCCUACCUUUAGUUGCCAUCAGGUUAAGCUGGGGACUCUAAAGGAACUGCCUACGCAAGUAGUGAGGAAGGCGGGGAUGACGUCAAAUCAGCACGGCCCUUACGUCCAGGGCUACACACGUGCUACAAUGGCCGAUACAGAGGGCAGCUACCUGGUGACAGGAUGCAAAUCUCCAAAGUCGGUCUCAGUUCGGAUCGGAGUCUGCAACCCGACUCCGUGAAGUUGGAUUCGCUAGUAAUCGCGCAUCAGCCAUGGCGCGGUGAAUACGUUCCCGGGCCUU
rnacentral:rRNA from 1 species